AUGAACGCUGGCGGCGUGCCUAAUCCAUGCAAGUCGAGCGAACGGACGAGAAGCUUGCUUCUCUGAUGUUAGCGGCGGACGGGUGAGUAACACGUGGAUAACCUACCUAUAAGACUGGGAUAACUUCGGGAAACCGGAGCUAAUACCGGAUGAUAUUUUGAACCGCAUGGUUCAAAAGUGAAAGACGGUCUUGCUGUCACUUAUAGAUGGAUCCGCGCUGCAUUAGCUAGUUGGUAAGGUAACGGCUUACCAAGGCAAUGAUGCGUAGCCGACCUGAGAGGGUGAUCGGCCACACUGGAACUGAGACACGGUCCAGACUCCUACGGGAGGCAGCAGUAGGGAAUCUUCCGCAAUGGGCGAAAGCCUGACGGAGCAACGCCGCGUGAGUGAUGAAGGUCUUCGGAUCGUAAAACUCUGUUAUUAGGGAAGAACAUAUGUGUAAGUAACUGUGCACAUCUUGACGGUACCUAAUCAGAAAGCCACGGCUAACUACGUG
rnacentral:rRNA from 1 species